rnacentral:rRNA from 1 species
AGAUACCCUAUUAUUUAAAAUGUAAUUAUUUAUUAAAAUUAUUAAUAGUUAUAGUCUUUAAAGUUAAAAAUUUUGGCGGUAUUUUAGUCUUUUCAGAGGAACCUGUUUUAUAAUUGAUAGUCCACAAUCUAAUAAACUUAAUUUUUAAAUUUUUAUAUCGUUGUGGUAUGAAUAUUUUAUAAGAAUAAAAAUAUUCAAUUUUUAGGUAAAAUAAGAAUUCAAAUCAAGGUGAAGUUUAUAAUUAAGAAAAAAUGGGUUACAAUAAAUUUAGUUUUAGUUUUAUAAUUUAAAAAUAUAAAUAAAUUGGAUUUGAAAGUAAUUUUUAUAAUUUUAGAAAAUGAUUAAGCUCUAAAAUAUGCACAUAUUGCCCGUCGCUUUCAUUUAAAAUGAAAUAAGUCGUAACAAAGUAGAUUUAUUGGAAAAUGAAUCUAGAUUAAUCA